GACGUGAGGGCGCGAGCGUUUGUCCGGAUUUAUUGGGCGUAAAGAGCUCGUAGGCGGCUGUCGCGUACGUCCGGUGAAAACCUUGGGGGCUCAACCCAAGCUUGCGGUCGAUACGGGCAGGCUGGAGUUCGGUGAGGGGAGACGUGGAAUUCCUGGUGUAGCGGUGAAAUGCGCAGAUAUCAGGAAGAACACCCGUGGCGAAGGCGGCUCUCGUGGACGGUACUGACGCUGAGACGCGAAAGCGUGGGGAGCGAACAGG
rnacentral:rRNA from 1 species